rnacentral:rRNA from 1 species
UACCAGCACCCCGAGUGGUCGAGACGUUUAUUGGGCCUAAAGCAUCCGUAGCCGGUUCUACAAGUCUUCCGUUAAAUCCACCUGCUCAACAGAUGGGCUGCGGAAGAUACUAUGGAGCUAGGAGGCGGGAGAGGCAAGCGGGUACUCGAUGGGUAGGGGUAAAAUCCGUUGAUCCAUUGAAGACCACCAGUGGCGAAGGCGGCUUGCCAGAACGCGCUCGACGGUGAGGGAUGAAAGCUGGGGGAGCAAACCGG